UUCUAGUUUCUAGACUGGUAGGGGAGCGUUCUCGAGGGAUGAAGGUAGACGGUAACGACUACUGGACUGUCGAGAAGUGAUUAUGCCGGAACGAGUAGCGAUAAAGGGAGUGAGAAUCUCACCUCGCCGCAAGCCUAAGGUUUCCUGGGGAAGGUACAUCCGCCCAGGGUUAGUCGGAACCUAAGUCGAGGACGAAAGUCGUAGACGAUGGACGACCGGUUAAUAUUCCGGUACUUCCUGCAGGCGUUUGAGCGAUGGCGGUUCGGGGAUGCGAAGGCCAGCUAAACCCAUAGCUACGGGUAGUCCAAGCCGGCGGGAUCGCGCCAGGUAAAUCCGGCGCAAUACGAUUCCAAAGGCGAGUGCGGGGCUUUUAGUCCAUAAGUGGUUGGAACAUCCUCCAAGAAAUACCGUCUAGCGAGUUUGUCGGGAAUCCGUACUAAAACCAACACAGGUCGGCAAGGAGAGCAUCCAAAGGCGCUCGGGAGAAUGCUGGUUGAGGAACUCGGCAAAUUGUCUCCGUAACUUCGGAGUAAGGAGAUCCCUUCAGGGUGUAAUAGCCCCGGGGGGACGCAGAUAAUCGGCCCCUGCGACUGUUUACUAAAAACACAGGACUGUGCGAAGGCGUAAGCUAAUGUAUACAGUCCGACGCGUGCCCGGUACUAGAAAGUUAAGGGAAGAGGUUAGCCUUCGGGCGAAGCUUCGAACUGAAGCUCUAGUGAACGGCGGCCGUAACUAUGACGGUCCUAAGGUAGCGAAAUUCCUAGACGGGUAAGUUCCGUCCUGCACGAAUCGCGUAACGACAGGGGCGCUGUCUCAACCGGCAACCCGGCGAAACUGUAGCUGUGGUGAAGAUGCCACAUACCCGCGGCUAGACGAAAAGACCCCGUGAACCUUCACUGUAGCAUGGUAUUGGGUUUCGACCUAACCUGUGUAGGAUAGGUGGGAGGCUGUGAAGUUCCGACGCUAGUCGGAACGGAGCCACCGGUGAAAUACCACCCUUGUUAUGUUGAAAUUCUAACCUGUAGCCGUGAAACCGGCGCAGGGACAGUGCUAUGUGGGCAGUUUGACUGGGGCGGUCUCCUCCAAAAGAGUAACGGAGGAGUCCAAAGGCAUGCUCAGCGCGGUCGGCAAUCGCGCGUAGAGCGUAAGGGUAUAAGCAUGCUUAACUGCGAGACUCAUAGGUCAAGCAGAUGGGAAACCAGGGCCUAGUGACCCAAGGGUUCCGUAUGGAAGGGCCCCUGAUCAACAGAUAAAAGGUACUCCGGGGAUAACAGGCUGAUCGCCCCCAAGCGUCCAUAGCGACGGGGCGGUUUGGCACCUCGAUGUCGGCUCAUCGCAUCCUGGGGGUGGAGAAGCUCCCGAGGGUUCGGCUGUUCGCCGAUUAAAGCGGUACGCGAGCUGGGUUUAGACCGUCGCGAGACAGGUCGGUCUCUAUCUGCCGUGGGCGUAGGAUACUUGAGGAGGUCUGACCCUAGUACGAGAGGAUUGGGUUGGACGAACCUAUGGUGUACCUGCUGUCGCGCUAGCGGCAUGGCAGGGUAGCUAAGUUCGGUUUGGAUAAACGCUGAAAGCAUCUAAGCGUGAAGCCGGCUCCAAGAUGAGGUAUCCCCAUCAGGCCCCUCGUAGACUACGAGGUUGAUAGGCCGGAGGUGUAAGGCCCGUAAGGGUUUCAGCUGACCGGUACUAAUCGGCCGAUUGGCUUGACCGC
rnacentral:rRNA from 1 species